rnacentral:rRNA from 1 species
UACGGAGGGAGCUAGCGUUGUUCGGAAUUAUUGGGCGUAAAGCGCGCGUAGGCGGCCACUUAAGUCGGAUGUGAAAGCCCCUGGCUCAACUGGGGAAGUGCACCCGAAACUGAAUGGCUUGAAUGCAAAAGAGGGUCGCGGAAUUCCCGGUGUAGAGGUGAAAUGCGUAGAUAUCUGGAGGAACACCGGUGGCGAAGGCGGCAUCCUGGACCGACACUGACGCUGAGGCGCGAAAGCGUGGGGAGCAAACAGG